rnacentral:rRNA from 1 species
CGAACGCUGGCGGCAGGCCUAAUACAUGCAAGUCGAACGGCUCUUCGGAGCAGUGGCGGACGGGUGAGUAACGCGUGGGAAUGUGCCCUUUGGUACGGAACAACACAGGGAAACUUGUGCUAAUACCGUAUGUGCCCUUCGGGGGAAAGAUUUAUCGCCAUUGGAGCAGCCCGCGUUGGAUUAGGUAGUUGGUGAGGUAAAGGCUCACCAAGCCUACGAUCCAUGGCUGGUCUGAGAGGAUGACCAGCCACACUGGGACUGAGACACGGCCCAGACUCCUACGGGAGGCAGCAGUAGGGAAUCUUGCGCAAUGGGCGAAAGCUUGACGCAGCCAUGCCGCGUGUAUGAUGAAGGUCUUAGGAUUGUAAAAUACUUUCACCGGGGAAGAUAAUGACGGUACCCGGAGAAGAAGCCCCGGCUAACUUCGUGCCAGCCGCCGCAGUAACAC